AGAGUUUGAUCCUGGCUCAGAUUGAACGUUGGCGGCAGGCUUCAACCAUGCAAGUCGAACGAGAAAGGUCCUUCGGGGCCGAGUAAAGUGGCGGACGGGUGAGUAACGCGUAGGAAUCUACCUAGUAGUGGGGGACAACCCGAGGAAACUCGGGCUAAUACCGCAUACGACCUAGGGGUGAAAGCGGGGGAUUUUCGAACCUCGCACUAUUGGAGGAGCCUGCGUUGGAUUAGCUAGUUGGUAGGGUAAAGGCCUACCAAGGCGACGAUCCAUAGCUGGUCUGAGAGGACGAUCAGCCACACUGGAACUGAGACACGGUCCAGAUGUCUACGGGAGGCAGCAGUAGGGAAUAUUGUGCAAUGGGGGCAACCCUGACACAGCCAUGCCGCGUGUGUGAAGAAGGCCUUAGGGUUGUAAAGCACUUUCAGCAGAAAGAAAUGCUCAGGGUUAAUAACCCUCGAGUCUUGACGUUAACCACAGAAGAAGCACCGGCUAACUCCGUGCCAGCAGCCGCGGUAAUACGGAGGGUGCGAACGUUAAUCGGAAUUACUGGGCGUAAAGCGCACGUAGGCGGUUUGUUAAGUGGGAUGUGAAAGCCCCGGGCUCAACCUGGGAAUUGCAUUGCAAACUGGCAGACUAGAGUACAGUAGAGGGAGGUAGAAUUUCCUGUGUAGCGGUGAAAUGCGUAGAUAUAGGAAGGAAUACCAGUGGCGAAGGCGGCCUCCUGGACUGAUACUGACGCUGAGGUGCGAAAGCGUGGGGAGCAAACAGGAUUAGAUACCCUGGUAGUCCACGCCGUAAACGAUGAGAACUAGCAGCCGUUGGGCCCCUUGAGGGUUUAGUGGCGAAGCUAACGCGAUAAGUUCUCCGCCUGGGGAGUACGGCCGCAAGGCUAAAACUCAAAUGAAUUGACGGGGGCCCGCACAAGCGGUGGAGCAUGUUGUUUAAUUCGAUGCAACGCGAAGAACACGCGGAGAACCUUACCUGGGUUUGACAUCCUGUGAAUUUUUGAGAGAUCAAAGAGUGCCUUCGGGAACACAGUGACAGGUGCUGCAUGGCUGUCGUCAGCUCUUGUCGUGAGAUGUUUGGUUAAGUCCAGCAACGAGCGCAACCCUUAUCGUUAGUUGCCAGCACGUAAUGGUGGGAACUCUAGCGAGACUGCCCGGGUUAACCGGGAGGAAGGCGGGGAUGACGUCAAGUCCUCAUGGCCCUUAUAUCCAGGGCUACACACGUGCUACAAUGGUAAAUACAAAGGGCAGCGAGCCAGGCAAGAGUCAGCGAAUCCCUAAAGUUUAUCUCAGUCCGGAUUGGAGUCUGCAACUCGACUCCAUGAAGUUGGAAUCGCUAGUAAUCGCGGAUCAGCAUGCCGCGGUGAAUAUGUUCCCGGGCCUUGUACACACCGCCCGUCGCACCAUGGGAGUUGAUUAUACCCGACGUCAUUGGGCUAACCCUUCGGGGAGAGCUGCUUAAGGUGAGAUUGGUAACUGGGGCGAAGUCGUAACAAGGUAACC
rnacentral:rRNA from 1 species